ACACCUGGGAGGCUGUCCCUUAUAAGCUCAUCAAGCAUGCAGACACGUGAGAGACCGGACAUGUGUAUCGCCAUAGGAGCGAAAAUCGUUUGAGCAUGGGCCCCUACCACCCCAAGGACGCACAUCUACACUACAACACCCUGUGAAUUGCAGCCCUGGAGGAUGGAGCAAGCACAGUAUUCCAAGGCACCAGAGAGGUACUCC